AAUACCGCAUAAGCCCACAGCUCCGCAUGGAGCAGAGGGAAAAGGAGCAAUCCGCUUUGAGAUGGCCUCGCGUCCGAUUAGCUAGUUGGUGAGGUAACGGCCCACCAAGGCGACGAUCGGUAGCCGGACUGAGAGGUUGUAUCGGCCACAUUGGGACUGAGACACGGCCCAGACUCCUACGGGAGGCAGCAGUGGGGAAUAUUGCACAAUGGGGGAAAACCCUGAUGCAGCGACGCCGCGUGGAGGAAGAAGGUCUUCGGAUUGUAAACUCCUGUUGUUGGGGAAGAUAAUGACGGUACCCAACAAGGAAGUGACGGCUAACUACGUGCCAGCAGCCGCGGUAAAACGUAGGUCACAAGCGUUGUCCGGAAUUACUGGGUGUAAACGGGAGCGCAGGCGGGAAGACAAGUUGAAGUGAAAUCUAUGGGCUCAACCCAUAAACUGCUUUCAAAACUGUUUUCUGAGUAUGCAGAGGUAGGCGGAAUUCCCGGUGUAGCGGUGGAAUGCGUAGAUAGUCGGGAGACACCUAGGG
rnacentral:rRNA from 1 species